rnacentral:lncRNA from 1 species
UGUCCCGGGAAGUUCAAGAUGCGGUUCCUUUUGUUCCUUCUCCUCCUGGCUCUUGCCUUCGCCUUCGCGGCCGCCAAGACCAUGCCCUGCUGUUACGGCGGAGGCUACGGCCACUUCGGCCACCACCACCACCACCACCACGGGCACUGGGGCCACUGGGGCUGAUCCUACGGACGGCGAGCAAUCGACCCCAAUAACAAGGACAACGACAUCGGGACAAGUUGCUUCCUCUCUUCUUCGCGCCUGUGGUUUUGGGUUAUUUCGCGGCACGCGAUUCGUGUCAAUAAAGAGAAUAUCGCUGC